UGGGGAAUAUUGCACAAUGGGCGGAAGCCUGAUGCAGCAACGCCGCGUGGGGGAUGACGGCCUUCGGGUUGUAAACCUCUUUUAGCAGGGAAGAAGCGUGAGUGACGGUACCUGCAGAAAAAGCACCGGCUAACUACGUGCCAGCAGCCGCGGUAAUACGUAGGGUGCAAGCGUUAUCCGGAAUUAUUGGGCGUAAAGAGCUCGUAGGCGGUUUGUCGCGUCUGCUGUGAAAUCUGGGGGCUCAACCCCCAGCCUGCAGUGGGUACGGGCAGACUAGAGUGCGGUAGGGGAGAUUGGAAUUCCUGGUGUAGCGGUGGAAUGCGCAGAUAUCAGGAGGAACACCGAUGGCGAAGGCAGAUCUCUGGGCCGUAACUGACGCUGAGGAGCGAAAGGGUGGGGAGCAAACA
rnacentral:rRNA from 1 species